rnacentral:tRNA from 1 species
UCUUGUUUAGCUCAGUUGGCAGAGCAGGAGACUCUUAAUCUCAGGGUCAUGGGUUUGAGCCCCACAUUGGGCA